CGAUCAGUGAGCUUCUAUGAACACA
rnacentral:piRNA from 1 species